rnacentral:hammerhead_ribozyme from 1 species
ACCCAGCCGACGAGUCCCAAAUAGGAUGAAAUGAGCGUUGUCCUGGAU